rnacentral:rRNA from 1 species
GGGUUGUGAGGUUAAGCGACUAAGCGUACACGGUGGAUGCCCUGGCAGUCAGAGGCGAUGAAGGACGUGCUAAUCUGCGAUAAGCGUCGGUAAGGUGAUAUGAACCGUUAUAACCGGCGAUUUCCGAAUGGGGAAACCCAGUGUGUUUCGACACACUAUCAUUAACUGAAUCCAUAGGUUAAUGAGGCGAACCGGGGGAACUGAAACAUCUAAGUACCCCGAGGAAAAGAAAUCAACCGAGAUUCCCCCAGUAGCGGCGAGCGAACGGGGAGCAGCCCAGAGCCUGAAUCAGUGUGUGUGUUAGUGGAAGCGUUUGGAAAGGCGCGCGAUACAGGGUGACAGCCCCGUACACAAAAAUGCACAUGCUGUGAGCUCGAUGAGUAGGGCGGGACACGUGGUAUCCUGUCUGAAUAUGGGGGGACCAUCCUCCAAGGCUAAAUACUCCUGACUGACCGAUAGUGAACCAGUACCGUGAGGGAAAGGCGAAAAGAACCCCGGCGAGGGGAGUGAAAAAGAACCUGAAACCGUGUACGUACAAGCAGUGGGAGCACGCUUAGGCGUGUGACCGCGUACCUUUUGUAUAAUGGGUCAGCGACUUAUAUUCUGUAGCAAGGUUAACCGAAUAGGGGAGCCGAAGGGAAACCGAGUCUUAACUGGGCGUUAAGUUGCAGGGUAUAGACCCGAAACCCGGUGAUCUAGCCAUGGGCAGGUUGAAGGUUGGGUAACACUAACUGGAGGACCGAACCGACUAAUGUUGAAAAAUUAGCGGAUGACUUGUGGCUGGGGGUGAAAGGCCAAUCAAACCGGGAGAUAGCUGGUUCUCCCCGAAAGCUAUUUAGGUAGCGCCUCGUGAACUCAUCUCCGGGGGUAGAGCACUGUUUCGGCAAGGGGGUCAUCCCGACUUACCAACCCGAUGCAAACUGCGAAUACCGGAGAAUGUUAUCACGGGAGACACACGGCGGGUGCUAACGUCCGUCGUGAAGAGGGAAACAACCCAGACCGCCAGCUAAGGUCCCAAAGUCAUGGUUAAGUGGGAAACGAUGUGGGAAGGCCCAGACAGCCAGGAUGUUGGCUUAGAAGCAGCCAUCAUUUAAAGAAAGCGUAAUAGCUCACUGGUCGAGUCGGCCUGCGCGGAAGAUGUAACGGGGCUAAACCAUGCACCGAAGCUGCGGCAGCGACGCUUAUGCGUUGUUGGGUAGGGGAGCGUUCUGUAAGCCUGUGAAGGUGUACUGUGAGG